AUUGAACGCUGGCGGCAUGCUUUACACAUGCAAGUCGAACGGCAGCGCGGGCUUCGGCCUGGCGGCGAGUGGCGAACGGGUGAGUAAUGCAUCGGAACGUGCCCAGUAGUGGGGGAUAGCCCGGCGAAAGCCGGAUUAAUACCGCAUACGACCUGAGGGUGAAAGCGGGGGACCGAAAGGCCUCGCGCUAUUGUAGCGGCCGAUGUCGGGUUAGCUAGUUGGUGGGGUAAAGGCUUACCAAGGCGACGAUCCGUAGCUGGUCUGAGAGGACGACCAGCCACACUGGGACUGAGACACGGACCAGACUCCUACGGGAGGCAGCAGUGGGGAAUUUUGGACAAUGGGGGCAACCCUGAUCCAGCCAUGCCGCGUGCGGGAAGAAGGCCUUCGGGUUGUAAACCGCUUUUGUUCGGGAAGAAAUCCUCUGGGCUAAUACCCCGGGGGGAUGACGGUACCGGAAGAAUAAGCACCGGCUAACUACGUG
rnacentral:rRNA from 1 species